UGGUGAUUAGUAUUCCCUUCUUGUAAAUUUGAAAAGGUUGUAUGAACUUCAGCUGUCAAGGGAUGUGCCAGUUGAGAGCUUAUAUGAAGAUAUAGUGAGGACACUACAAAAAUUUAGAAACUUGGAUGAUGAGGUUGUCUGUUUUCUGCUUCUUAACAUGUAUAUUCAUUUGCCUGUUAUCUAAAAUCGAUCAUAAGUAGUGAGGUGGUAUCAGAGGCAUCGUUGUCUUCCUUACUAUCUAAAUGAACUACUUUGUUUAACAACCUAGAGUAUUUUCUUAACAGCCCUCAUACGGAGGGAGAAGUUAAUUACGGUAACCUUCUAGCCAGCAGGGUAAGUAUUUUUCCUUGAUAUUAUGACAUCUGAACUGAAGCUUCAUUUUAAAUCUAUUAUAAUGACUAUUGUUCAAAUUUUGUCUAAUUAUGCAUUGUUUGUGCCCAAGGUUUGUACCAUACUUGCAGAAUCAUGGUUUAUGUUCAGAAAGACUAAUUUUUCCUCAACAAAGCUGGAAAGGUUAGGAUAUUGUCCAGAUGAGGCAAUUCUCCAAAAGUUUUGGAAACUUUGUGAGCAACAACUUAAUAUUUCAGAUGAGACAAAAGAUGAUGAUGUUAACAAGGAGUAUGUUGAGGACACAAACAGAUGCUGUGUUAUGAUCGCUGCUGC